AUAAAGAAACAGACUCCAAGUAAAUAAGUAACUUGCUCAACAUCCACAGUGAUUAACUGACAGAGCUACAGCUCAAACGCAGGUGUCCUGAUUCUUGGACUAAAGGACUUUCUGCCAACCCUGAGAGAACAUUCUGGCUGGAAUAGAAGGAAAUGAGACGAGCAGAGAGAGGCCUGGUAGGCUCUGAAGAGAAGCAGUCUCAGGCACUGAGGCAGAAGAGGGCCUCCGCUAGUGAGCACAGACCAACAGGACAGGAUUCCAGCCAAUGGUUUGAGGAAUCUCUCAUCUUAAGACACAGAACCCACAUCUCAUCAUAUAAGCUUAAAAGGCCAGAUCCUUAUUUUCCCAGCCUCCCAUGCAGCUAGAAUUUGGGCAUGUGACUUAAGCUCCACUGUGAUAGUUAAUUUGACAUGUUAAUUUACAGGGCACAGGGUGCCUAGAUAUUUGGUUAAAUAAUAUUCUGGGUUUCUGUGAGGGUGUUUCCGGGUGAGAUUACCAUC
rnacentral:lncRNA from 1 species